rnacentral:rRNA from 1 species
UACAGAGGUUUCAAGCGUUGUUCGGAUUCAUUGGGCGUAAAGGGUGCGUAGGCGGCGCGGUAAGUCGGGUGUGAAAUCUCGGAGCUUAACUCCGAAACUGCAUUCGAUACUGCCGUGCUUGAGGACUGGAGAGGAGACUGGAAUUUACGGUGUAGCGGUGAAAUGCGUAGAUAUUGGGAGGAACACCAGUGGCGAAGGCGGCUCACUGGACUGGUACUGACGCUGAGGCGCGAAAGCGUGGGGAGCAAACAGG